UGAGAUUCAAUCAUUAAAUAGUGUGGGCACCUCGCCUGCCACUCUCUCUCUCUCUUCUUCCUGCAUUGCCCUUGGCUAUGUGAUGUGCUUGUUUCUGCUUUGUCUUCUACCAUGAGUAAAAGUUUCCCGAAGUCUCCCCAGAAGCAGAUGUCUGCACUGUGCUUCUUGUACAGCCUGAAGAACCAUGAGCCAAGUGGAAACUGGAGUGCAGGCGCUGGGGCUAGCCAGCUGCUUUGGUGCUGACAGGGGCAAACUCCACUUAUUGGAACCCAUUGUACUCAACCUCUCAUGGGAGAGAGGAUGCAGGUGAGUGGGAAAAACCAGGUCGCAAGAACAAAUUGAAAGGUGGUGAAUUUGGAGAAAUUCAUUUCCGAUGAAAGUGGCUCUCAGCAGGCAGGAGAGCUGAAAGGUGAUGGAGUGGGAAGCCACACCGUCAAGCCAUCCCUCUGAAGUCGAGCUGCUUCUCUCCAACAUUAAGCCAUGGUCUCCCACAUCCAUCUGCUUCUCCUCUUCUCUUUCUCUCCUGUCUCUGUGGGCAGAGCCUGGGGGUUUUAUGGGCACAGGAAGAAGGAGCAAGGCAGACCAAGGGGGUUUUCAAAAAGGCAAAAUUCAAGCAGGAAAACAGGAAUGUAUGUUCUCUCUUUCGGCCUCAGUUCAUGGCUUGAAGGUGAGACCCUUGCU
rnacentral:lncRNA from 10 species